GACGAACGCUGGCGGCGUGCUUAACACAUGCAAGUCGAACGAAGUGGCGCACGGGUGAGUUACGCGUAAUCAACCUGCCCUUCAGAGGGGGACAACAGUUGGCAACGACUGCUAAUACCGCAUACUGAAGGUGGGGAUUGCGUUGGUGUAGCUAGUUGGAGGGGUAACGGCCCACCAAGGCGAUGAUCAGUAGCCGGUCGGAGGGGGUGGACGGGCCCAUUGGGAAUGAGGAAAGGCCCAGACUUCCAAGGGGGGCAGCCGGGGGGAAUCUUCCGAAAAGGGCGAAAGGCUGACGGAGCAAAGCCGCGGGGGUGAUGGCGGCCUUCGGGUUGUAAAGCUCUUUUAAUCGGGACGCGGUACCGGAAUAGAAAGCAACGGCUAACUACGUGCCAGCAGCCGCGGUAAUUC
rnacentral:rRNA from 1 species